rnacentral:rRNA from 1 species
GAUGAACGCUGGCGGCGUGCCUAAUACAUGCAAGUCGAGCGAACGGACGAGAAGCUUGCUUCUCUGAUGUUAGCGGCGGACGGGUGAGUAACACGUGGAUAACCUACCUAUAAGACUGGGAUAACUUCGGGAAACCGGAGCUAAUACCGGAUAAUAUUUUGAACCGCAUGGUUCAAAAGUGAAAGACGGUCUUGCUGUCACUUAUAGAUGGAUCCGCGCUGCAUUAGCUAGUUGGUAAGGUAACGGCUUACCAAGGCAACGAUACAUAGCCGACCUGAGAGGGUGAUCGGCCACACUGGAACUGAGACACGGUCCAGACUCCUGCGGGAGGCAGCAGUAGGGAAUCUUCCGCAAUGGGCGAAAGCCUGACGGAGCAACGCCGCGUGAGUGAUGAAGGUCUUCGGAUCGUAAAACUCUGUUAUUAGGGAAGAACAUAUGUGUAAGUAACUGUGCACAUCUUGACGGUACCUAAUCAGAAAGCCACGGCUAACUACGUGCCAGCAGCCGCGGUAAUACGUAGGUGGCAAGCGUUAUCCGGAAUUAUUGGGCGUAAAGCGCGCGUAGCGGUUUUUUAGUCUGAUGUGAAAGCCCACGGCUCAACCUUGGAGGGUCAUUGGAAACUGGAAAACUUGAGUGCAGAAGAGGAAAGUGGAAUUCCAUGUGUAGCGGUGAAAUGCGCAGAGAUAUGGAGGAACACCAGUAGCGAAGGCGACUUUCUGGUCUGUAACUGACGCUGAUGUGCGAAAGCGUGGGGAUCAAACAGGAUUAGAUACCCUGGUAGUCCACGCCGUAAACGAUGAGUGCUAAGUGUUAGGGGGUUUCCGCCCCUUAGUGCUGCAGCUAACGCAUUAAGCACUCCGCCUGGGGAGUACGACCGCAAGGUUGAAACUCAAAGGAAUUGACGGGGACCCGCACAAGCGGUGGAGCAUGUGGUUUAAUUCGAAGCAACGCGAAGAACCUUACCAAAUCUUGACAUCCUUUGACAACUCUAGAGAUAGAGCCUUCCCCUUCGGGGGACAAAGUGACAGGUGGUGCAUGGUUGUCGUCAGCUCGUGUCGUGAGAUGUUGGGUUAAGUCCCGCAACGAGCGCAACCCUUAAGCUUAGUUGCCAUCAUUAAGUUGGGCACUCUAAGUUGACUGCCGGUGACAAACCGGAGGAAGGUGGGGAUGACGUCAAAUCAUCAUGCCCCUUAUGAUUUGGGCUACACACGUGCUACAAUGGACAAUACAAAGGGCAGCGAAACCGCGAGGUCAAGCAAAUCCCAUAAAGUUGUUCUCAGUUCGGAUUGUAGUCUGCAACUCGACUACAUGAAGCUGGAAUCGCUAGUAAUCGUAGAUCAGCAUGCUACGGUGAAUACGUUCCCGGGUCU